AACUUGCUAAAAAAGUUUCACAAGGGUCAUCCAAAAGUCAGAACUCAGAUUAGCAUUGCUGUGGCUACAUUGGCUGUGCGUGUGCCUGCUGAAGAUUGGGGAGAUGGUGUAUAGUGAAAUGGCUUAGGGACGAGAUGGAUUCUCAUCCGGAAUAUAUACCAGGAUUCUUGGAGUUACUAACAGUUUUGCUAGAGGAUUCCCGGAUCUGUUCUCAGUACCCAUCCAUUAGUUCUUACAGCAUUAUCAAGCUUGAAUUCUGAGUUUCUUUCUGAGGCAUCUGUAAAUGCCAAAACAGGAAAUUAAAGGGGAUCUUGAUCAUG